UCCUUUAAGAUGAAGCCUUCAACUUUCCUUCCUCUUCUUCUUCUCCUACAAAUCUUCUUCUUUACCAACAUUCCCAUUUCUAACUCUCAAGUACCUGCAUUCAACAAAUACAUACUAGCUUCACAAUUCACCAAGUCUCUUUGCAACAAGCCAAUCUUCAACAAAUGUGAUCCUAACUGGAACAAAGAUCUUCCAAAUGAGUUUACCAUACAUGGGUUGUGGGAAAAUGAAUGGGUAGGGACAAAAACGGCUUCCGGGAAACAGUUCUUAUUAUCAGAGGUUUGUGAUCUCUCUCUCUAGUUAACAAAAGUUGUUAGAUUUUCAUUUGGUUGUUGUGUAAGUGGAAGCAUCAAACUUGGCCUGAUGCCCAUGUGAUUUACACACCUGGUGGAAACAAAGAUGGUGAAAGACGAGCAGCGGCAGAUCGUUUCUGGCAAUGGGAGUGGGAUCGUUUCUUGAAUACUUCAAAACUACAUACGAUUUAUUUACUAAUGUUGGAGAUAUACAUGGAUUAUUCAAAGGGGAAGGACUCAUAUAUCCUGGAGGAUACAUUGAAUUACUUUAUGACAGAGCAAGUUUAUCCAUACGGAAUCACUAUGGAACAGACUGGAGAUUGACCUGCAGCAAGGAAAUUGUUAGUCUCAGGCUGUCAAGCUACAGUGAUCAACAGGAUAUCAUGGAUUAAGGUGAUUUUUAUUAUUAUCAAAAGGGUAUGAUGUAUUAAGUUGAUUUUAUUGGAGGGGUUGGGCUUGGAACUAGAGAAAUUUGAAAUUUCUCAAUUAUUUAAUACUACUUAUUUCCAUCGUUGUUAUUGUUUCUCUGUCUCUAUUUUAUUCUCUCUAUCUCUUAUUUGGUUUGCCCCAAAUUGAAAACCCUAAAACCCUAUCCAUUUCAUCAGUCUAAUCGAAGAGAUUUCUAGUGUGUUUUAUGUAUAAAAAGAGUGACAGAUUUCGGUGUGUUUUCUGAGAUUUUUCAAGGUCUGGAUCAUCAAGAUUUAUUGUCUAGGGAGGGUUGAAUUGGAUUUGGAAUUUUGUUGGUUAUGUUGAUGAUGAGGAGGAUUGAUUGUAUGUUCCUUAUUACAAUUCAUCAUCAUCCUUAUGCAUUUCGUUAUGUUGGGUUGUAAUUUCACCACUGGUGUAUAUGGCCUUGAAACCAAACACACAAACUAUUCAUCAGUUGGAAUGGAAGCACGGAAGCGUUUUGACAAGGCUAACCUUCUUUAUGAUCAGGCUCACGAGAAGUUUUUGUCCCUGAAAAGGUAAAAGGAAGGAUGUAGCUACUGUGGUGGAGGAGGUAUUGCCUGACUCUGAUUUGCCUAAGAAUGCAAAGAAUUCAUCCCCCUGUUGUUUAAUUGUUAGGUGACUAUCGUAGUCCGAAUUACUUUCUAAUCUAGUUCAAACAAAUUUGAGGAACUCCACAAUGCAAGAUCUACCUUUGAGCAAGCACACUUCAAUUUGGUAUUUAGAACACUCAUGACCAUUUUUUCUAUCUGAAACAUCUUUCUUGAGAUGUCAGGUUCAGAUCUGUUAUGGGUCUGUGCAGGUCACUGCUCUUUCUAACGUGAAAGCUAAAAGGAGGUUUGAAUUUGUUAGUUGGACAAUGGAUGCUCUUUCUAGAUCAUUGUUUGCAUAUGUCCUUAUAUAUAUGCCACUACUGAUUUUAUAUCUCUGAUUGGGCUGCAGGGUUAUGAUCUAUCGCGUCAGAUGGAGUCAUAUACCAACCGGGUAUGCUUACUUAGCAAGCUUGCUUUGUAAAAAGUUGUGGUCAUUUUCCUUGCUUAUGAGUUACUAUCAGCAUGUACAAUCAUAGAUACAUAACUGGGAAACAAUAUUAGUCGAUUCAGUGAUAGUUAUAAACUUCGCACCUAACUAAAUCAAACUUCCUUAUUCUUGGAGGGUAUCAUAUCUUUGUUUCCUAGGGACAUAUUCCUCCGUUAUCUCAUUUUUGUAGUUAUAAACUUUUAUUGUCUCCGGUGUACCCCGUGAAAACCUCAUCCAUUUGAUGACUGUGGGAAUGGAUUGAUGGAAAUUUGAGUUAAAUUUAAUUUUCAGACCUUGAUAGCAGACCCAGAAUAGCGUUGUUUUCUUUUUAUAAAUGAGAACCCUUGAAGUUCCUGGAAUUAGUUUGAGAGACAACUGGACUGCCAUUUCUGAAGGUCUUGGUGCAGAACCAACUAUGCGCAGGCAGCUCUUACUGAAAGGAUGCAGGAAUAUAAAGUACAGGUAUAUCAAGAAAGUAGGUGAUCUGCAAAUGGUGAUCAAGAAACUAUUUCCGUGUGUUUUUCUUUCUAAAAUAUGACCUUGGGCAGUCAAUUUCUCAGAGAUUACAAUAAUGUGGUCUACCUGUAUUUUGGUCCAUGGUGGAUCUAAAACGUGCUGAAAUUUGUUUGAUAAGUAUUUUCAGGCGAAAUUGAUUUACAUUCUGUGGGAUGGAUAUGUUUCCUCCUGACAGUCUGCAAGAUGGUAAUUUCUUGGGGCGGUAAUGUAUACAGGCUCUUUGAAUACCUGAAACUUUAGAAAGUGCAAGAUAUUCUUUCUUUUGACUGGUGUCCGUGCCA